UCUCUGUUGGUCUAGUGGUUAGGAUUUAGCAUUUUCACUGCUGUAACCUGGGUUCGAUUCCCAGACAGGGAA